rnacentral:rRNA from 1 species
CCGGCGCACGGGUGAGUAACACGUAUCCAACCUGCCUUACACUCUUGGACAGCCUUCUGAAAGGGAGAUUAAUACAAGAUGUUAUCAUGAGUAAGCAUUUUCACAUGAUUAAAGGUUUACCGGUGUAAGAUGGGGAUGCGUUCCAUUAGAUAGUAGGCGGGGUAACGGCCCACCUAGUCUUCGAUGGAUAGGGGUUCUGAGAGGAAGGUCCCCCACAUUGGAACUGAGACACGGUCCAA